rnacentral:rRNA from 1 species
AGAGUUUGAUCCUGGCUCAGGAUGAACGCUAGCGGGAGGCCUAACACAUGCAAGUCGAGCGGGAUCUCCCUUCGGGGAUUGAGAGCGGCGCACGGGUGAGUAACGCGUAUGCAACCUGCCCUUUACAGGGGAAUAGCCCGGAGAAAUCCGGAUUAAUGCCCCAUAGUACCAUAAAGCCGCAUGGUUUUUUGGUUAAAGCUCCGGCGGUGAAGGAUGGGCAUGCGUGACAUUAGCUAGUUGGGGGGGUAACGGCCCACCAAGGCUACGAUGUCUAGGGGUUCUGAGAGGAUGAUCCCCCACACUGGUACUGAGACACGGACCAGACUCCUACGGGAGGCAGCAGUGAGGAAUAUUGGUCAAUGGGCGCAAGCCUGAACCAGCCAUCCCGCGUGAAGGACGACGGCCCUAUGGGUUGUAAACUUCUUUUGUACGGGAAGCACGUGCGCUAUGUAUAGCGUAUUGACGGUACCGUACGAAUAAGCAUCGGCUAACUCCGUGCCAGCAGCCGCGGUAAUACGGAGGAUGCGAGCGUUAUCCGGAUUCAUUGGGUUUAAAGGGUGCGUAGGCGGCCCGGUAAGUCAGCGGUGAAAGUUUGCGGCUCAACCGUAAAAUUGCCGUUGAUACUGUCGGGCUUGAGUUCAGAUGAAGUGGGCGGAAUGAGUAGUGUAGCGGUGAAAUGCUUAGAUAUUACUCAGAACACCGAUUGCGAAGGCAGCCCACUAAACUGCGACUGACGCUGAUGCACGAAAGCGUGGGGAUCGAACAGGAUUAGAUACCCUGGUAGUCCACGCCGUAAACGAUGUUCACUCGCUGUUUGCGAUAUAUUGCAAGCGGCCAAGCGAAAGCAUUAAGUGAACCACCUGGGGAGUACGAUCGCAAGGUUGAAACUCAAAGGAAUUGACGGAGGCCCGCACAAGCGGAGGAACAUGUGGUUUAAUUCGAUGAUACGCGAGGAACCUUACCCGGGCUUAAAUGUAGGCUGCAUGAGGUGGAAACACCCUUCCCUUCGGGGCUGCCUACAAGGUGCUGCAUGGUUGUCGUCAGCUCGUGCCGUGAGGUGUCGGGUUAAGUCCCAUAACGAGCGCAACCCCUAUCGUUAGUUGCCAUCGGGUGAAGCCGGGAACUCUAGCGAGACUGCCACCGUAAGGUGAGAGGAAGGUGGGGAUGACGUCAAAUCAGCACGGCCCUUAUGUCCGGGGCUACACACGUGUUACAAUGGACGGUACAGAGGGCCGCUACCCCGCGAGGGGAUGCCAAUCUCGAAAGCCGUUCUCAGUUCGGAUCGCAGUCUGAAACCCGACUGCGUGAAGUUGGAUUCGCUAGUAAUCGCGCAUCAGCCAUGGCGCGGUGAAUACGUUCCCGGGCCUUGUACACACCGCCCGUCAAACCAUGGAAGUUGGGGGGACCUGAAGUCUGUUACCGCAAGGAGCGGCCUAGGGUAAAACCAAUGACUGGGGUUAAGUCGUAACAAGGUA